rnacentral:rRNA from 1 species
UACGUAGGUGGCAAGCGUUGUCCGGAAUUAUUGGGCGUAAAGCGCGCGCAGGCGGUCCUUUAAGUCUGAUGUGAAAGCCCACGGCUCAACCGUGGAGGGUCAUUGGAAACUGGGGGACUUGAGUACAGAAGAGAAGAGUGGACUUCCACGUGUAGCGGUGAAAUGCGUAGAGAUGUGGAGGAACACCAGUGGCGAAGGCGACUCUUUGGUCUGUAACUGACGCUGAGGCGCGAAAGCGUGGGGAGCAAACAGG